rnacentral:rRNA from 1 species
UGCAUGUACCGCUACGAAUAAGGACCGGCUAAUUCCGUGCCAGCAGCCGCGGUAAUACGGAAGGUCCGAGCGUUAUCCGGAUUUAUUGGGUUUAAAGGGUGCGUAGGCGGCAUGUCAAGUCAGCCGUGAAAUUGCGGGGCUCAACCCCGUACUGCGGUUGAAACUGGCGCGCUUGAGUGCGGGAGAGGAAGAUGGAAUUCGUGGUGUAGCGGUGAAAUGCAUAGAUAUCACGAAGAACUCCGAUUGCGAAGGCAGUCUUCUGGUCCGUAACUGACGCUGAUGCACGAAGGUGCGGGUAUCAAACAGGAUUAGAUACCCUG